rnacentral:rRNA from 1 species
AUUACCUCAGUAACGGCGAGUGAAGCGGUAACAGCUCAAAUUUGAAAUCUGGCUCUUUCAGGGUCCGAGUUGAAAUUUGUAGAAGAUGCUUUGAGCAUUGCUCCGGUCUAAGUUCCUUGGAACAGGACGUCAUAGAGGGUGAGAAUCCCGUAUGUGACUGGUGGCAUUUGUUCAUGUAAAGCUCUUUCGACGAGUCGAGUUGUUUGGGAAUGCAGCUCAAAAUGGGUGGUAUAUUUCAUCUAAAGCUAAAUAUUGGCCAGAGACCGAUAGCGCACAAGUAGAGUGAUCGAAAGAUGAAAAGCACUUUGGAAAGAGAGUUAAACAGUACGUGAAAUUGUUGAAAGGGAAGCGCUUGCAACCAGACUUGCAGGUCGUUGAUCAUCCGGGGUUCUCCCCGGUGCACUCGGCGGCUUUCAGGCCAGCAUCGGUUUGAGUGGUGGGAUAAAGGCCUUGGGAAUGUAGCUUCUCUCGGGGAGUGUUAUAGCCCAAGGUGCAAUGCCGCCUAUUCGGACCGAGGACCGCGCUUCGGCUAGGAUGCUGGCGUAAUGGUUGUAAGCGACCCGUCUUGAAACACGGACCAAGGAGUCUAACAUCUAUGCGAGUGUUUGGGUGUCAAACCCAUACGCGUAAUUAACGUGAACGGAGGUAAGAACCCUUAAGGGUGCAUUAUCGACCGAUCCUGAUGUCUUCGGAUGGAUUUGAGUAAGAGCAUAGCUGUUGGGACCCGAAAGAUGGUGAACUAUGCCUGAAUAGGGUGAAGCCAGAGGACACUCUGGUGGAGGCUCGCAGCGGUUCUGACGUGCAAAUCGAUCGUCAAAUUUGGGUAUAGGGGCGAAAGACUAAUCGAACCCAUCCUAGUAGCUGGUUCCUGCCGAAGUUUCCCCUCA